UAAUACGUAGGUCCCGAGCGUUGUCCGGAUUUAUUGGGCGUAAAGCGAGCGCAGGCGGUUAGAUAAGUCUGAAGUUAAAGGCUGUGGCUUAACCAUAGUACGCUUUGGAAACUGUUUAACUUGAGUGCAAGAGGGGAGAGUGGAAUUCCAUGUGUAGCGGUGAAAUGCGUAGAUAUAUGGAGGAACACCGGUGGCGAAAGCGGCUCUCUGGCUUGUAACUGACGCUGAGGCUCGAAAGCGUGGGGAGCAAACAGGAUUAGAUA
rnacentral:rRNA from 1 species